AACGCGAAGAACCUUACCAUCCUUUGACAUGGCGUGUUACCUGGAGAGAUUCAGGGUCCCCUUCGGGGGCGCGCACACAGGUGCUGCAUGGCUGUCGUCAGCUCGUGUCGUGAGAUGUUGGGUUAAGUCCCGCAACGAGCGCAACCCACGUCCUUAGUUGCCAUCAUUCAGUUGGGCACUCUAGGGAGACUGCCGGUGAUAAGCCGCGAGGAAGGUGUGGAUGACGUCAAGUCCUCAUGGCCCUUACGGGAUGGGCUACACACGUGCUACAAUGGCGGUGACAAUGGGACGCGAAGGAGCGAUCUGGAGCAAAUCCCAAAAAACCGUCUCAGUUCGGAUUGCACUCUGCAACUCGAGUGCAUGAAGGCGGAAUCGCUAGUAAUCGUGGAUCAGCAUGCCACGGUGAAUACGUUCCCGGGCCUUGUACACACCG
rnacentral:rRNA from 1 species